rfam:Schistosoma rodhaini strain Burundi genome assembly, scaffold: SROB_scaffold0000787
AUCCAGCUGAUGAGUCCCAAAUAGGACGAAACACGCGUCCUAGUGUUGGGGAU